UGGGAGAGGACGCGGCUUACGCUGGUGGUACUAUGUUGACUGUGAAGCCAUGGCUCGUCUGGACGCAGUAGUUCAGCCAUACCAGUUCGACACAGAGUCUGACCCAGAAGGAGAGGCUCCUGAUGAAGUCCUGACUCUGCGGCUGCAGCAGGAUGUUUCGGAAUGGUGCUCCUGUGGAAACUGUGGCCCACAGAAGCUGAAAACAUCUGUUGCUUCGAGAUACCACAGAUUACCAGACGCCUACAGGAGGUUGAUGAAGAACUCACCUGUAUGGUUGACCAUCCUAGGUUGGAGCCAGUGUGCCUAAAUAUUUACUCUCUGCAAAACGCCUGCCAAAUAUACAGGGCUCACUAUGGCCCUUUACAGCUGAGAGGAAUACACCAUCGUUACAGGUAUCUGGCCUAUCGGAGUUUUGUGAGCUGGUGCUGGGGGUUCUUGGGACGCAGAAUCCGUGUUGUGAUUCCCCCUUGUGUGGUUCUUCGUAUCUGCACACAGUUUCCUGAUGUGCAAGAACACUAUCUGGGAU